rnacentral:rRNA from 1 species
GGCGGCGUGCCUAACACAUGCAAGUCGAGCGGGGUCCAUCCGGUAGCAAUACCGGGGAAGACCUAGCGGCGAACGGGUGAGUAACACGUGAGAAACCUGCCCCGAAGUCUGGGAUAACCCGAGGAAACUCGAGCUAAUACCGGAUGUCUUCUUCUGAUCGCAUGGUCGGAUGAAGAAAGAUUUAUCGCUUCGGGAGGGUCUCGCGGCCUAUCAGCUAGUUGCGGGGUAACGGCCCACCAAGGCGUCGACGGGUAGCUGGUCUGAGAGGACGAUCAGCCACACUGGGACUGAGACACGGCCCAGACUCCUACGGGAGGCAGCAGUGGGGAAUAUUGCGCAAUGGGCGAAAGCCUGACGCAGCAACGCCGCGUGCGGGAUGAAGGCCUUCGGGUUGUAAACCGCUUUCAGUGGGGACGAAUUCAGACGGUACCCACAGAAGAAGCCCCGGCCAACUACGUG